ensembl:lncRNA
GUACAGUGGUCAACAAUCCAGCAGCUACAUCGUCAUUAUCUUUGGAGUCUAGGCAAGGAGACAUUAAUCAUGGUGAGUAAUGACACCAACACUUCUGUAAAUAACUAGUAAUGUAAAGUUAUUAUUGACAUUUUGUUAUGUACCAUUGUUCUUAGAUGAAAUUCCAUCACUUUCUUUUCGCACUGUUUGUCCGGCAGUUGAAGACAUAGGUGUGUAUAUGUGACUUAAAGAGUUAAUGUUAUUAAAGAGAGAAUAUAAUUACUGCUUUGUAAUGAUCAGUGUAACUGACUGCCAUGGACACUAUAAUUUACACUUUUUUUUCUAAUACAGAAACUCUUCAUCAAGAGGUAGAGGAUCUGUUAGCUGAUACUGAAGACAUUCAGUGCUCAAAUCCGACUUCCUCAAACGCAUGGUCAGUUCGCAUGGCCCAGACUAAAAAGAAGUGGGCAGCUUUGAGGCCAGAGAUGGUGGAGUGUUUAUUAACAGCUGAGUAUACGGAGAUCAGGCAGUGCCAGCACUGCCGACUGAAGCAGUCUGUUAUCCGCUGUAAAGACUGCAUUCCUAAACAGCUGUACUGUGUAGAAUGUGAUAUUUUGGCCCAUGAAAGGAAACUUCACAACCGAGAGACAGAUGUAGAAGGUUUCUUUCGGCCCAUAUCCCCAACAACUUUGGUUAAAGUGGAUAUUGACGGCAAGUUCCAAUUUGAGGAAAAAGAUUGCCUUUUGCCUCUUGAGGCACCUGAACAAAUUUGCAACUGUGCCACAGAUUCCACUGUGGUGUCAGAAGGUAAAAGGGCAAUCCUCAUAGGAAUUGAUGGUCGCUACAAUGUCCGCUUGCCACACUUCAUGUGCCAAAAAUGUCAUAUGAGCAGAGCAACCAGCAUCCCACUGUUGAUCAAGUCUGGUUACUGGCCUGCCACAGCAAGCUGUGAAACAAUAUAUAAAAAUAGAUGUGUUUGUUUCCUAUGACCACAUGAAGCUGGCUGCUCCUGGAAUGUCUAGACAGUCCUUCACCGGUUUACUGGAACAGAGGACAGAGUUCUUCGGCAGAGUAAUAAUUGAAUGAAUUACCAAAUAAUUUAUAUUUCAUCUUUUCAGUUUUGGGAAUGAGAUAUGUCUUAUAGGUUUUAUGAUUUCGUUUUUUGUUUGUGUUGUUUUUUUUAGGAAGGAAAAAUAUGUGCAGAUGCUUUUCAAAGAAGUUUUUUCGAAUGGAGAUACUGCCAGUUUGAAAUUGAUCAGCUCUGUGGACUGAAAGUGUUUGACUGUCCAGCCUGUUCUCCAUUUAUGCUCGCUGUGUCCGUAGAUGGUAACAGGAAAUUGUAUCGCUUCAAAAGAGGGUAGGGGAAAUUCUAUUUCGGUGCCAAAAGCAUUUCAAAAUAUAAUAAUACCAAUUAACUUUUCAUUAACUAAUUAUGUAAUUUUUUUUCAAGGCAUGAAGAUCAUGGCCUGUUCGAGGGUGUCUUUGUCUGUAAAGAUGAAGAUGUUUCCAAGUUUGUGGACUACAUUAAUGCUAAGACAAAGCAC